CCAGAGCUAUAGAUACCUGGUCAGUUCAUGGCUGUGUUGGCUUCCCUAUCCCGGAUUCAGGGUAAACGUAAGCCGAUUUUCAGGGGGUUUUAGGGCGGAGCUUGUCAGAAGUUGUGAAGUGGAAGAAUGAAUCAGCGCCAUCUAGUGAUAAGACGUUGAAUACUUUCGGCGGCCAUUUUUGUGUAAUAUGUGAAUACGGCGGCCAAUCGGCCAUCAUCGUGUAUUACGUGAAUGAAGCCUAACCAUAAUUUCUGUAAAAAUGGUUGGCAGGUGUGCUGUUCCUGGUUGUAAAUCAACAUAUUUCAAAGGAAAUAAAAAAGAAAACGAGGGAUUGAAAUUUUGAACGUGUUCCAUCCUUUCAAACGUAGGAUUCUUAACGCUGGAGCAAUGCCCUGGAAACCAACAUUUUCUGUUAAAUGAUACAUCUAGUCAACAACUGCUGAUUACUUCAAAGAGCGAUUCAGUGGUGCUCGACAGCUACCACCAAAGCUGUCCAAUAUCAUUGCAUUAUUUCUUGCCAAAGCUGCAGCCAUCGUUCGAGAUCCUUCUCACCCAAUGUACCGUGCAAUCAAUAACUUUCUACUGGUAAAAUCGGCUAUGGAUGUGACCCAAGUUCCCGAAUUUUUCGUCAUGCUUCAUAACACUGAACAGA
rnacentral:lncRNA from 1 species